rnacentral:rRNA from 1 species
AAAACAUCUCUUUAUGAUUAUAAUUUUAAGUUGUCUCUGCCCAAUGAUUUAAAAUUAAAUGGCUGCAGUAUUUUGACUGUACAAAGGUAGCAUAAUAAAUUGUUUUUUAAUUGAAAACUUGAAUGAAUGAGGUGAUAAAAUAUAAACUUUAUUUAAAUAAAUUAUUGAAUUUAUAUUUUAAGUUAAAAUUCUUAAAUAUAUUUAAGGGACGAGAAGACCCUGUAGAAUUUUAUAUUUUUUUUAUAUAAAUUUAUUUUAAAUAAAAAAAAUAUUUUUUUGGGAGGAAAUUUAAAUUUUUAAACUUUAAUUAUUAUUUUACAUUUAUAAAUGGUUAAAUUUAGAUUUUAAAUUAAUAAAUUUUAAAUUAAAUUACCUUAGGGAUAACAGCGUAAUAUUUUUUGAAAGUUCUUAUAGAAAAAAAUGAUU